rnacentral:lncRNA from 1 species
CGGAAUAUGCUUGAAAGGUACCCUUCCCCAGGAAGCCCAUAUAUAGUAAGGUCUUCUCAUUCAGAAGGGGAUACACAAAAAAUUGAUCAGUAUUUUUACUAAAAAGCACCAUUCUCUGUAGAAAAAACUCCUCUCUUUUUUGAAUUUCAGACUUAAGGAAAAUCUUAGAAAACCCUUCAAAAAAGGAACUUCUCCUUCUAUUAACAAGUUGAAAAUGAGUUAAAGAGAAGAACUUUCUUAUGAUUUUGUUGGAACUUUUGGUUUUCAAGUAGUGUUUUGGUUUUUAAAUUCUGGGGUUUCUUUGGUUUUGCUGAAGCUGUUUGGUUACUGCUGCUAUUUUCUGCUCCUGAACUUCUUCCAACAGUCUUACCUUCAUUGCAGUUGUCAUUUAAUUAUUGUGUCAAGGUACAUGAGUCUUUCCUUGUUUGACUACCAUGUAAUUCAAAAUAGUGAUGAAUAUGAGUUGCUUGUGUUUGACACUGUUUGUAUAUAUUUUCUAUGGCUUAUAUGCUGAAUAGUGGUGCAGAAGCUUUUCCUUUAUCUCUAAAAAUGCAUGAAUCUCUUUAUUUCUAGUGUUAUGUCAUAGGGCUCUGUUUUCUUUGAUAGACAUUGGCAUUGACUAUCUUAUGCUAGUAUGCAUUUCUGUUUAUUUUGCAUUAGUUAAAUAAAAGGCUUAGACCCAUUCCCCCUCCUUAACACCUUUUCUUUCCAUUGGGUCUGACCCUUACAUGGUCGGGUUCAUGGAUUGAAUUUUUUCCUUUCUCUUCCUUUUGAGUCUGUUCUAGUAUUACAUCAGGGCGGUAUGACAUAAUUUGGGGGUUUGAAACCUAUAUUGGUUCAUGAGUUUAACCUUUAACAUGGUUAAACCCAUGAAUCAUAAUUGAUCAUUGCGUGUGUGUUUAUGUAUGGGUCUGACAAAUGUAUUAAAUUGGUACAACUAAAGGUAUUUCUGUGGAUCUUACCUCUUCACAUGACCAGAUUCACGAAAUCCUUAAUAGAAUAAGGCUAAUUUGGACAAGCAAGAAGCUUCAUCUGUGGUAUUUAAAAUGUCAGCUUGUAAGAAGCAGCUCUUUAGCUAAUCUUUUGCAAGCUAGUACCUUGGGAAGAAUCUGAUAACAAAAAUUCAGGACUAGAAGACAUUCUUCUUUUAUUUCUUUAGAUUUUCUUUCUUUCUUAUUAGAUAAUAGUUGUAAAGUAUCGGUAGGACAAUGUUUAUUAGUUUUGAAACCUUUCUUGUAUAAAGUUUUUGACUGACAAUUUUGUAAGAAGAUUGUUAAUUUUUAAUUUAAGUUUAAUUAUUAAUAUACUUCCAACAGUAGAUUUCUCUUUUGUAAUGAACAUGUUUAGGAUUGCAUGUAAUUGUAAACUGGGUUGCACUUGAAAAGAAAGCCCAAGUCUUGGGCUCAUUUGAAGCAGAGUCUAACCUGGACCAUUGGCCUGGGUAGUUGGACUUCAUAGCUUGAACCUGAAACAUGUUGUUUAUUUUUCACUGAUUACCUAUACAUAUCUAAUUUACCUUGCAAAUUAAUGCAAUAGAAUUAAUUUUUAUACUAGCCUUGAGCUUUGAAUUUUCUUUUAAGAAUGACUUUAUUUUAUAUGUUCCUCACUAAUAUGUAUACAUUGUGUAAAAGGUAGAUAUGCCCAAAUUAUAAAACAUGGCCAUCUGGGCCCGCCUAAAUUUGAACCCAAUGUGGGCUACCUAAUUUCUGACGACCGGGCUAGUUGUCUCAUGAAUUACCAUUCUGUUUCCUCUAUUUCUACUUCUUUAUGAUUUUUUUUAUCCGUUUUUAUGUGGUCUAUUUGAUUGGUUUGCGUUUGCAGUGGAUUUAGUAAGAAAUGAGACACUUAGUCUCUUUUAUGAAGGUUUAAGUUGAAAACGUCAACUGGAUGUUGACUUAUGAGUUAGAGAGCUCAGAUAUAAAUUCUGAUGAUUCGAUUAGCUUCGGGAGGUGAUUUAUAAAUUAGGAGUGUGAUCGGAAUUGGUUUUGAAAGUCCGGUGUAGAAUUAGGCUUGAAUUGGCGAAGUUAGUAUUUUGGCGAUGUUUGGUUGGUAGGUAAGAUAUUGAUCUGGGGGUCAAAAUAGAAUUCCAAGAGUUUAUGUAGCUUCUUAAUAUCAUUUGGAUGUGUAUAAAAAUUUUUAGGUCAUUCGAACGUGGUUUGGUUGGGUUUUUGCUUGGAAGCGUAUUUCAGAUGUUUUAGAAAAACUUAGGGUUGAAUUCGAUGUGAAUUGAUGGAUUUGGUGUUAUUGAGGUAUUUUGAUGAUUGUAACAAGUUUGAACGAGGUUUUAGGAGGUGUUGGUGCUUUUGAUUGAGGUCCCAGAGGCCUCGGGUGAGUUUCUAUGUUGAAAAGUUGGAGAAAUUGAUCACAGCUGUUGCAGUGAUUUUUGCCCUUCGCGAUCACGUGGGCUUAGUUGUGAUCACGUAGAAGGAUUCUAGGGUGAUCUGAGGUUGUAAUUCACGUUCGCGGAGGAUGGCUCGCAUUCGCGUAAGGUUGCAAGCCUUUGCUUCGCGUUCGCGGAAGCCUGCUCGCGUUCGCGUAUAAGGAGUUGGGGAUCAAUGGUAGGUGUUCUUCGCGUUUGCAUAUGAUGGAACGUGUUCGCGUAGGUAUGAGGGUCUAAAGCAUCACAUUCGCGGGAUGUGUGUCACAGCGAAGGGUUAUUUUGUUCAAGUUAAAAUUGUGCAUGGCGAAUGCGAGGGUUUGACCGCGUUCGCGAAGAAGGAAUACCAGAACUGGGCAAAAAAGUUUAUUAAACAUUUUAUCCGCGAUUGUGAUCCAUUCUUCCACCAUAGUUGAGUAUUUUGAGAGCUCUUUGAGGUAAAUUGAAGAGGAAUUCAAGGAGAUAUGUUUUAUGAAUUAAAAAUGUGAUUCUAUUGUGAAAUUAACCUAGAAAUUCAUGGAACCUAAGCUAAAAAGGAAGAACUAGGGCUUGGAAUUUUUAACUUUUGAACUGCGAUUUGAAGGACCAUUUGAGGUCAAAUUUGAGAACUUUUGAUAUGUAUGAACUCGUGAAAGGAUAAGGAACAUGUUGAUGUGAUAAUUUCUGAGUUUUGAGAAGUGGGCCCGAGGCUCGGGUUUUGCUAAUUUCAGGAUUUUUGAUAUUUUUUGAUUAUUUUCAGUUGGGUUUUGUUCCCUUAGCAUAUUGUGAUAUAUUCGUUCUGAUUUUUGAUAGAUUCGACGCUUGUGGAGGCCUAUUCGUGGGCAAAGGCAUCGCAAGCUAGAGUCGUAGCCGGGAUGUAAAGGAUGUCCUGAGGGUUUGAAACCCAGGAUUUGCACAUCGUAGUGCUAUAUUGAGGUGGGACACGCGCUUGAUGAUGAGCGUGGAGUCGUUUACUAUUGGAGAUUAUGAAUUGUCCGUCCCGAUUGAUUCUUUUACUGCGUAUUUGAUUGAAACUUAUUUGUUUUCAUCAUUAUUUGGACUGAAUGUCAUAUUUGGGCUUCGAGCCAACUAGUUGAACCCUCCAGGGAUUUUUAUCACCAUUUCCCCAUUGUUUUGACCUACUACUUGAACUCAAUCAUACUGUUUUCUAGUGUUUUACAACUCAUCUACUUUUACUCGGCUUUGAAACUAAAAUGAUAUAUUAAAUAAUUUUCUAGGCUGAGAACUACUAUUUUACUAAUGUCUGAUGGGUUUAUGUGAUUUUUGGACUGAGUAUGGCCGAGAGCCAGAUGUGAGGAUACUAUGGUAUCGGGCUGCGCAUUGCAGCAGUGUCAUACUGAUACUGAUAUGAGGCCGAGGUCCUAGUUCUUGAUGCCACGAGAUGGCUUGAUAUGUACUUGGUCCGUAAAGGGGACCCUCCCGGAGUCUGCACACCCCCAGUGAGCGUCGUCGAUAAAAUAUAUUGAUCGGGCUGCACGCCGCAGCAGUUACUGUAUAGUACCAUUCUAUGUUUUGACUUACUUCGACUAUCUAUCACUUAACUGCUUAUCUGUUGUAGAAUUAUCACAUUUCGUAUUUUAUUGGUUUAUUUCUUUCAUAUUACUUGUUUAUCUGCCGCAUUAUAGAUUACUCUGUAUUUUCUGUGAUUUCUUAUUCUCAGUCAUUAUUUAUGCUUAUUACUCACUGGGUCAGAGUACACACAUUACUCCCUACACCUUGCGUGCAGAUCCAGAACAAGAGGCUAAGUGAGGAUUUUCAGUCGACCAACACAUGUCCGGGGUUAUCGAGGUAGCUACACGCGUCCGCAACCCUGAUCUCCCUUAUAUCCUUUUGUUUUAUCCGCAUUUGCCAAACUGAUUAUGUAUUAGGCUGUUAAACUUGUAUAAGAGGCUCGAGACUUGUGACACUGGAUCUUUAUGGGUUAUGUAGUAGUAUUAUCAUUUGAAUUUCCG